ACCAAAUUAGCGUGAGGUCUCAAAACAGAGUGCUAUAUCAUGUCUCAUAGCAUUAAUGAGAUCGACUGACCACCGUCGGCCGCUGUCAUUCCCUCUCACAUGCAGUACAAGGAUCACUGGACCCGAAACGCAGCGGCUGAGCAUUGUGCAUUCUGAAUAAAGCUGGUCCCAACACAACCCUCUCAACCCCCGCCAACGCACCCUAACUGUGUGAUACGGGAAGCCCAAAUGUGCGGCUAUUUGCUCUAUCC